CGUAUACCCACCGGCUCCCUUUAACGCUUCACAGCGCCUGGCUGGGCAAACACAAGUCUCGGGGAAGAACUGUGGACUCAGACUCUCCCAUUCAUAGAUCCACAAAUAGAGAACGAGCCUGGCUGCUCCUCAAACAAACCCUCCUGGUUCCAGGUUCCAUUCACAUCAGUUGCUCAAUGGAUCUGAUUUGUAUCAGAUAUUAAGAGACAGAGCUCCAGUGUGUGCUGUCCUGUGCUGAGGUAAUGUGCAGUGGUGGGACCUGCAUGAGGGGUUCACUGUUCUAAUUGAAGAUUAAGCUGGUAAAGACGGGAGUGUAUAGCUUGGAAGACUGUUACACAGGAGCAGCUCUAUUCUACAGCACUGAGAGAAGACGCUCCACUUACACAAGUCAUGACUGUGUGGAGGUAGCCAGCGGUCAGCACCUUAAGAACAGAUAUAUCCAUGACACUCGAACUCUGUUCACUUUCUCUUUAAAUGAGCGAAAGGAAACAGACCCAAGUCUUCCAAAUUAGCUCUGCAAAUAUUUGCCGGAAAGGGGCUAGUGGUUUUGUGCCCAUUUCAAAAGCAAACUUAACAGACAUGGUGUUUGGUGUUGAUUUAUUUUUUUAUUAUUUAUGUCUGUAAAUAUCAAAGUAUUUUAGGUUUGGGGGUUGGUAUGUCCUCAUUUGGAACAAGGAGUAAAAGAGUGUAAUUGAGCGGAUGGGGAAAACACUCUUUCAAUCAAACUCACUCUCACUUUGACCAUUUGGUACAGGUCAGUGUGAAACUGUGUGGUGAUUUUACACAUCCCCCAUUCUUACCAUCAUGGCCCAUUGUUCCUCUAAACAAUCAUUAAAGUCUUUUAUUGGCUAUUUA